rnacentral:ncRNA from 1 species
AUUCGGCCGACUCAUUCUAGAAUGGCGACUUGCAUUGCGAGGAAACCGGUGAAAGUCCGGCACGGUCGCGCCACUGUGAGCGGAUGUCAAACAAGGCUAUUGAAGGGCUGCCAGUGCUUCAGCCUUCUGCAUCUGCAAGUCAGACCCUCGCUGCAACCUUUCUUUUUUC